CCUACGGGAGGCAGCAGUCGAGAAUCAUUCACAAUGGGGGAAACCCUGAUGGUGCGACGCCGCGUGGGGGAAUGAAGGUCUUCGGAUUGUAAACCCCUGUCAUGUGGGAGCAAAUUAAAAAGAUAGUACCACAAGAGGAAGAGACGGCUAACUCUGUGCCAGCAGCCGCGGUAAUACAGAGGUCUCAAGCGUUGUUCGGAAUCACUGGGCGUAAGGCGUGCGUAGGCUGUUUCGUAAGUCGUGUGUGAAAGGCGCGGGCUCAACCCGCGGACGGCACGUGAUACUGCGAGACUAGAGUAAUGGAGGGGGAACCGGAAUUCUCGGUGUAGCAGUGAAAUGCGUAGAUAUCGAGAGGAACACUCGUGGCGAAGGCGGGUUCCUGGACAUUAACUGACGCUGAGGCACGAAGGCCAGGGGAGCGAAAGGGAUUAGAUACCCCAGUAGUC
rnacentral:rRNA from 1 species